UGCAGAAUCCCGUGAACCAUCGAGUUUUUGAACGCAAGUUGCGCCCCAAGCCUUCGGGCCGAGGGCACGCUUGCCUGGGCGUCACGCACCGAGUCUCCCCCUCCAACUCAUGUCCUUGGCGCCUUCUGGCGACAUUGGCAUUGGGCAGUGAAUGGGGAGGACAUUGACCCCCCGUGCCUUUAAAGUGCGGUCGGUCUAAACACAGGCCCUGGGAGGCCGGCGUCACGAUUCGUGGUGGUCGACACUCGUUGUCUCUCUUCAUUCCUGAAUCCGUGUCUGCUGUGCUUACCGUGAAGGACCAUAAGGAACCCAUCGGGCCAUAAAUAUGGCACCCACUCUGCGACCCCAGGUCAAGCGGGACUACCCGCUGAAUUUAAGCAUAUCAAUAAGCGGAGGAGAAGAAACUUACAAGGAUUCCCCUAGUAACGGCGAGCGAACCGGGAACAGCCCAGCUUGAGAAUCGGACGGCACCGCUGUCCGA
rnacentral:rRNA from 1 species